rnacentral:lncRNA from 1 species
UGGUAUAUUGGCUAUUCAUAAUGAGGCUAUAUAGUUUGACUGCACAUUCCCUUGAUCCCUAGCCAUAUGGAUCCUUGCUGUGUAUGUUGGCUAUAUAAGUUCAGGUUUGCUAUUUGGAGUAGGAUACACCUAGAUGGAAUCUAUCGACCUUGGUAGAAAAAGAGAAGUCCUAUACGAUUCGUAAGACUGAGUUCAAAAAAAUAUCUGACU